rnacentral:rRNA from 1 species
GACGAACGCUGGCGGCGUGCUUAACACAUGCAAGUCGAACGGAAAGGCCCUGCUUUUGUGGGGUGCUCGAGUGGCGAACGGGUGAGUAACACGUGAGUAACCUGCCCUUGACUUUGGGAUAACUUCAGGAAACUGGGGCUAAUACCGGAUAGGAGCUCCUGCUGCAUGGUGGGGGUUGGAAAGUUUCGGCGGUUGGGGAUGGACUCGCGGCUUAUCAGCUUGUUGGUGGGGUAGUGGCUUACCAAGGCUUUGACGGGUAGCCGGCCUGAGGGGGUGACCGGCCACAUUGGGACUGAGAGACGGCCCAGACUCCUACGGGAGGCAGCAGUGGGGAAUAUUGCACAAGGGGCGGAAGCCUGAGGCAGCAACGCCGCGUGCGGGAUGACGGCCUUCGGGUGGUAAACCGCUUUCGCCUGUGACGAAGCGUGAGUGACGGUAAUGGGGAAAGAAGCACCGGCGAACUACGU